GUGAAGAAACCGGCCGCCAUCUUACGGUGCUCACAACAGUCGCCGCAGCGAUCAUGGCAACUUCUUGCAAUUACGGUCGUACCAACCGUACUGGCAAGGUUACAGGGCCUAAAUUUAUACAGGUUUCGUCAUGAGGGCUACCCAGUGAAUAAUCUGUGUAGUGUGAUACGGCUGGGUGUACAGGUUACUUCACAGCUGCCUUGACAUACUCAAGAAAUGGGUGCAGAACCUGCAUAAUGCCCACAAACUUUGAUUACCACAGCACCUCCAAAAAGUAUGUGUCACAUGGAAUUUUUAACAUGGGAUUCACAGUAUAUAAUACCUUGUAUUAACUGUUGUAGAUCUAAGCCGUCUCUACAGUACACUCUCAGAAAUUAAAACCGUGAGAACCGUGAUAAUUGUUUCAGUUAAUAGGCAUGCACAUAUAUGCUAUAAGAAGAAAAUUAUUUCUUGAGAAUGCACUUCUCUGGCUACUGGUGUUGUUUACAUCUACUGUUGAUCACAUUCAUUUAUCACAUAUUAUAUUCUUAUAUAUAUUAUUAUAUUAACACAUAUUUGAUCACAUUAAAUUCAAAAUUCAUCAUAUAUAAGAAAAUACCAGGAGGGAAGUUGCUAUUCAUUGCUCAUUCUAACCUAAAAUUGAGUGCUACAAAUUUAGAGAGAGUACCUGUCCAUUGUCAUUCCUAAAAUAUAUAUUGUCAUUGUAGCAAGGUCAUAAAACAAUAAAUGUAGUCUUUUGUGACCUCCCUGGACGUUCAUUGUAUCCUGAAACGCAUAAGUGCAAGAAAUAACUUGAAUAAACUUGAUGUUGUAUAAACUUGACAUAAGACGUUGAAUAAUAUAAUGAAUAAUAUAAAAUAUUGAAUAAACUUGAACUUGUAUAUUCUCUUUACUCACCAUCAGUGACCUUCUUUACAAAAGCAUAUCGUGUUAGAUUUUUUUUUGUUUACGUUUCACAGACGGUGUACACGAGGGCCAAAAUGACAAAAUCACAACUGUUUCAAGCUCCAAAUCGUCCUGCUGCAAUUAUCCUGUUGCAGACCAUACGUGUGUAGUGCAAGAAGGCCCUUGCACAUCAAAAUGUAAGAUGGGAGUCACAGUUAAUGCAAAGUGGUUCCUAUGAGAGACUUCGAUGCUGAACAAAAUUGUGCAAACUGCGGAAGGUGCCGUAGAAGAUAUUCAGAAAGCGUGUCUGGUCUCACAACGGUGCUACGGCGCUCUCUUUUAGAUGACGAUGAUACUCAUUGGAGUUUCAGAUGUGCAGCUGCAUUUUUUCGAACGUGCUCCACAUAACAAGCAUGACAAAGUCAGCACUGGGUAGCAGGCCCCGUUCCUAAGCAGCUUUGCUCACGCUGCAGUUGUAUUCAGCAAAAGCAUGAGAGUACUCGAGAAGGAAUUCAGUUUGGCACAACCGCGCCUGCAAAUAAUCAGAACAAAUGAAGGAAGAAACAAACAAACAUAGAAGGGCUGUACUUCAAAAAGAGGUAAAUCUUGUGUCUCAAGGAGGUGUUACCACUUUUAAGUAACUUAAUUGAUUAAGCUUACAUCACUACCUCAUUAACUGUCCUAACGAGCGUGUUCUAAUUGCGUAAAGCAAUUAAAUCACGCUCACAACGUAUUUGGGCUGCUUCGGUGUGUCCAUAUUUGCGAGGCAAAGCACCGCAGUCGUUCACUAAAAGACACUUUCUGCGGCGGUGCUUGAUAUAAAUCAUACGAAACCGAUACACGGCUAAAACAACGGCUGUGAUUCUACAGAACGAUCUCUUUCUGCCAUGCGAGUAUAUCCUUUCCCGGACCGUUCUUUAUGGAACAAUUUUUGUCCAGAACGCAGCACGAGAUAUUACAUACAUGGUGGUUGUUAAUCUCACAUCGUUUCUUGUUGAAAUAUUGGCUGGGAAACGUACUGUAGUACAAUCCCCAGCGCUGCACUGCUGUGACGGUCUAGUUUCGGAAUGCAAAACAUAACGUAAUUAAGAAUCGAACGGCAGGACACCUGUGAAACACUGUUAGGAUACAUCAGUAUACUGGCACCUUACAAAAUUGUGUGAUGACAAGCAACGAUCAACGCCUGCAGC